CCUACGGGAGGCAGCAGUGGGGAAUAUUGGACAAUGGGCGAAAGCCUGAUCCAGCAAUUCCGCGUGUGUGAAGAAGGCCUUCGGGUUGUAAAGCACUUUAGUGGGGGAAGAAACAGCUUGGCCACACCAAGCCUUGACGGUACCCCAAGAAUAAGCACCGGCUAACUCUGUGCCAGCAGCCGCGGUAAUACAGAGGGUGCAAGCGUUAAUCGGAUUUACUGGGCGUAAAGGGUGCGUAGGUGGCUAUUUAAGUCGGAUGUGAAAGCCCGGGGCUCAACCUCGGAAUUGCAUUCGAUACUGAGUGGCUAGAGUUCGGUAGAGGGCGGCGGAAUUUCCGGUGUAGCGGUGAAAUGCGUAGAUAUCGGAAGGAACAUCAAUGGCGAAGGCAGCCGCCUGGGCCUGGACUGACACUGAGGCACGAAAGCGUGGGUAGCAAACAGGAUUAGAUACCCUGGUAGUCCACGCCGUAAACGAUGAGAACUUGACGUUGGUUCGUUUUACGAAUCGGUGUCGCAGCUAACGCGAUAAGUUCUCCGCCUGGGGAGUACGGCCGCAAGGUUGAAACUUAAAUGAAAUUGACGG
rnacentral:rRNA from 1 species